rfam:Fukomys damarensis contig97033, whole genome shotgun sequence.
ACCACUUCUUGGCCUUUUGGUUAACAUCAAGUGUAGCAUCUGUUCUUACCAAGUUACACCCUGGCAGUGUACCUGAGAGAAGCUCUUAUACAUGUGUAUAAGGACAUAUAUUCAUGAAUAUCUAUUUCAGUAUUUUUCAAGAGCCAAAAAUAGAAGCAGGACAAAGGAUAAAGUAUUAUGUUAUCCUACAAAGC